rnacentral:sRNA from 1 species
ACACACGCACGGGGACUGCAAGCGGGCAGCAUCGAUCGUGGCUCCUUUAAGACAAACUCAGACAGACAUUUUUUUUAACCCUCCUUCUCUAAUCUCCCUCCAGUGCAGCACUUGCAAAGAGGGAGAGAGAGAGGGAGAGAAAGAAAGAGAGAGAGAAGAGAGAAACUGAUUAAGAAUUAGGACUGAUUCAAGGGAAGCGAGCGCUAGGGCUUUGUGCAUUUGAAUAUUAACAUUUGAGGUGUUCUGACCAGAAGAAGACAGAGCGGAUGAUCAUUCAUUCACCACGUUGACAACCUCGCCUGUGAUUGACAGCUGGAGUGGCAGAAAGCCAUGAGAUUUGGUAGUUGGGUCUGAGGGGCGCUCUUUUUUUUCCUUUUCUUUCUUUCUUUCUUUUUUUUUUUUAAACUGAUUUUUGGGGGAGAGAAGAUCUGCUUUUUUUUUUGCCCCCGCUGCUGUCUUGGAAACGGAGCGCUUUUAUGCUCAGUGACUCGGGCGCUUUGCUUCAGGUCCCGUAGACCGAAGAUCUGGGACCAGUAGCUCACGUUGCUGGAGACGUUAAGGGAUUUUUCGUCGUGCUUUUUUUUUUUUUUUUUUUUUUUUUUUUUUUUUCCGGGGGAGUUUGAAUAUUUGUUUCUUUUCACACUGGCCUUAAAGAGGAUAUAUUAGAAGUUGAAGUAGGAAGGGAGCCAGAGAGGCCGAUGGCGCAAAGGUACGACGAUCUACCCCAUUACGGGGGCAUGGAUGGAGUAGGCAUCCCCUCCACGAUGUAUGGGGACCCGCAUGCAGCCAGGUCCAUGCAGCCGGUCCACCACCUGAACCACGGGCCUCCUCUGCACUCGCAUCAGUACCCGCACACAGCUCAUACCAACGCCAUGGCCCCCAGCAUGGGCUCCUCUGUCAAUGACGCUUUAAAGAGAGAUAAAGAUGCCAUUUAUGGAUUCGCGCAGAAAAACCUCUAUUUUCUUCUAAUCCAGAACUGGAUAACUUGAUGAUUCAAGCCAUACAAGUAUUAAGGUUUCAUCUGUUGGAAUUAGAGAAGGUACACGAAUUAUGUGACAAUUUCUGCCACCGGUAUAUUAGCUGUUUGAAAGGGAAAAUGCCUAUCGAUUUGGUGAUAGACGAUAGAGAAGGAGGAUCAAAAUCAGACAGUGAAGAUAUAACAAGAUCAGCAAAUCUAACCGACCAGGUAUGCGCUUUUCAAUUUCAACAUCCCUGGGAAAAAAAAAAAAUCUGUAUGCAUAUUGCUUGCUGGGUCACUACCACCUCCUUUUCUUAUUUGCAUAUGAUUAAGUCCCUUUUAGAUACAUUUCCAUCGAAAUGAAAAUUUUUGAAUAAUGUGGCUAUUAUUGCUUCAUUAAGGCUGGCUCUGGGAUUCGACCUGAAGAGAUGAGCUUGUAAAAGCUUUGCUAGCAAACUUGACCUGUUUCUUGUCGCUUUUAAUUUUUGUCUUUAUUUUAUUUACCCUGUAUAAUAAUGGGAGUGUUAACUGCCAGUGACCGCCUCUGAUUGUAGGGGCUUUGUUCCGGAGCAUUUUUCCCCCUUCUAUCUUCAAGAAAAGAAAAGUGUAGGGUCUGCUUAUUUCUUAUUUUAUUAGGAAUAAAUCCAAGAUAGGUGGUCUAAGAGAGACAGUGAGGGUUUGAAAUCUAGCAAAUGCUGGCUAUUUUCUCCCUGUCUGUACGGUUCAUUAGCCUGUCUUGUCAGUUUUCCUCGGCCGAACGCUUCUAGACCUCACUGAACAUUGCUUUGUGUGGUGUUCACUGCAAGCUCGCCCAUUUUAUUGUACUUAAUAGAAAAAAUAAGACCAGGCCGAGGUUAUAAAAACAGAUAAAUAUGGACUUUUCUCCUCCUUCUUUCCACUCAUUCUCCAGCUGGUAUGUGCUCUGGGCCCUCUGGGUUGGCAGCUUGUGGACA